GUUAGCCGUGGCUUUCUGGUUAGGUACCGUCAAGGUACCGCCCUAUUCGAACGGUACUUGUUCUUCCCUAACAACAGUAGUUUUACGAUCCGAAAACCUUCAUCACUCACGCGGCGUUGCUCCGUCAGACUUUCGUCCAUUGCGGAAGAUUCCCUACUGCUGCCUCCCGUAGGAGUCUGGGCCGUGUCUCAGUCCCAGUGUGGCCGAUCACCCUCUCAGGUCGGCUACGCAUCGUUGCCUUGGUGAGCCGUUACCUCACCAACUAGCUAAUGCGCCGCGGGUCCAUCUGUAAGUGGUAGCUAAAAGCCACCUUUUAUAAUUGAACCAUGCGGUUCAAUCAAGCAUCCGGUAUUAGCCCCGGUUUCCCGGAGUUAUCCCAGUCUUACAGGCAGGUUACCCACGUGUUACUCACCCGUCCGCCGCUGACAUCAGGGAGCAAGCUCCCAUCUGUCCGCUCGACUUGCAUGUAUUAGGCACGCCGCCAGCGUUCGUC
rnacentral:rRNA from 1 species